rnacentral:siRNA from 1 species
CCCCUCGAUGAAGAUUGUGAUGAU